CAUGUGGUUUAAUUCGAUGCAACGCGAAGAACCUUACCUACUCUUGACAUCCAGAGAACUUUCCAGAGAUGGAUUGGUGCCUUCGGGAACUCUGAGACAGGUGCUGCAUGGCUGUCGUCAGCUCGUGUUGUGAAAUGUUGGGUUAAGUCCCGCAACGAGCGCAACCCUUAUCCUUGUUUGCCAGCACUUCGGGUGGGAACUCCAGGGAGACUGCCGGUGAUAAACCGGAGGAAGGUGGGGACGACGUCAAGUCAUCAUGGCCCUUACGAGUAGGGCUACACACGUGCUACAAUGGCGCAUACAGAGGGCGGCCAACUUGCGAGAGUGAGCGAAUCCCAAAAAGUGCGUCGUAGUCCGGAUCGGAGUCUGCAACUCGACUCCGUGAAGUCGGAAUCGCUAGUAAUCGUGGAUCAGAAUGCCACGGUGAAUACGUUCCCGGGCCUUGUACACACCGCCCGUCACACCAUGGGAGUGGGCUGCAAAAGAAGUAGGUAGUUUAACCUUCGGGAGGACGCUUACCACUUUGUGGUUCAUGACUGGGGUGAAGUCGUAACAAG
rnacentral:rRNA from 1 species